rnacentral:rRNA from 1 species
UACGUAGGGGGCAAGCGUUGUUCGGAUUUACUGGGCGUAAAGGGCGCGUAGGCGGCUAUUCAAGUCAUCUGUGAAAUCUCCGGGCUUAACUCGGAACUGUCAGAUGAUACUGCUUUGCUAGAGUGCAGAAGGGGCAAGCGGAAUUCUUGGUGUAGCGGUGAAAUGCGUAGAUAUCAAGAGGAACACCUGAGGUGAAGACGGGUUGCUGGGCUGACACUGACGCUGAGGCGCGAAAGCCAGGGGAGCAAACGGG